CCAUGGCCCGGACGCCUCUCCUCCUGGCGCUGCUGUCCCUCUGCACAGGAUCCCGGGCCCAGUCGGAGCUGACGCAGCCGUCCUCGGCGUCCGGGGCCCUGGGCCAGAGCGUGGUCAUCUCCUGCACCGGGAGCGGCUCCGACCUUGGAGCUGGCUACACCCUGCAAUGGUACCAACAGCUCCCGGGAACGGUCCCCAAACUCCUGAUACAUGACAGUAGCAAGCGGCGCCCAGGCGUCCCUGAUCGGUUCUCGGGCGCUGUGUCUGGCACCUCGGGCUCGCUGACCAUCGCGGGGCUCCAGCCCGAGGACGAGGCUGAGUACAUCUGCCAGUCACAACGCAGCAAGUGGGGCGGGACACGGUGCUCUGGGCCUGUGGGGAAGCGAGGCAAGAACCCCCAGAUGGGCCUCCUGCACCCCUCACAGCGCAGCUGCUUGGUCAGGAGUCGCGGGCCCUUCGCUGGUCAGCAGGUGCUGACGCCAGGGCUCUCCCGAGGGUGA